GAUGAACGCUAGCGACAGGCUUAACACAUGCAAGUCGAGGGGCAGCAGGGGAGUAGCAAUACUCCCGCUGGCGACCGGCGCACGGGUGAGUAACACGUAUGCAACCUGCCCUUGUCAGGGGGAUAAGCGGAAGAAAUUCCGUCUAAUACCGCAUAACGCUGCGGGGAGACAUCUCCCUGCAGCCAAAGAUUUAUCGGACAAGGAUGGGCAUGCGGCGCAUUAGCUUGUUGGCGGGGUAACGGCCCACCAAGGCGACGAUGCGUAGGGGUUCUGAGAGGAAGGUCCCCCACACUGGUACUGAGACACGGACCAGACUCCUACGGGAGGCAGCAGUGAGGAAUAUUGGUCAAUGGCCGGGAGGCUGAACCAGCCAAGUCGCGUGAGGGAAGACGGUCCUAUGGAUUGUAAACCUCUUUUGUCAGGGAGCAAAAACUGCCACGCGUGGCAGGAUGAGAGUACCUGAAGAAAAAGCAUCGGCUAACUCCGUGCCAGCAGCCGCGGUAAUACGGAGGAUGCGAGCGUUAUCCGGAUUUAUUGGGUUUAAAGGGUGCGUAGGCGGACAGUUAAGUCAGCGGUAAAAUUGAGAGGCUCAACCUCUUCCCGCCGUUGAAACUGAUUGUCUUGAGUGGGCGAGAAGUAUGCGGAAUACGUGGUGUAGCGGUGAAAUGCAUAGAUAUCACGCAGAACUCCGAUUGCGAAGGCAGCAUACCGGCGCCCAACUGACGCUGAAGCACGAAAGCGUGGGUAUCGAACAGGAUUAGAUACCCUGGUAGUCCACGCAGUAAACGAUGAAUACUAAUUGUUCGGGUCGAGUGAGAUCUGAGUGAUACAGCGAAAGCGUUAAGUAUUCCACCUGGGGAGUACGCCGGCAACGGUGAAACUCAAAGGAAUUGACGGGGGCCCGCACAAGCGGAGGAACAUGUGGUUUAAUUCGAUGAUACGCGAGGAACCUUACCCGGGCUCAAACGACACAGGAAUGAUCUGAGAAAUCAGGCAGUCCUUCGGGACCUGUGUCGAGGUGCUGCAUGGUUGUCGUCAGCUCGUGCCGUGAGGUGUCGGCUUAAGUGCCAUAACGAGCGCAACCCCCAUCGACAGUUGCCAGCAGGUCAAGCUGGGCACUCUGUCGAGACUGCCGGCGCGAGCUGUGAGGAAGGCGGGGAUGACGUCAAAUCAGCACGGCCCUUACGUCCGGGGCGACACACGUGUUACAAUGGCAGGUACAGCGGGAAGCCACCUGGCGACAGGGAGCGGAACCCGAAAGCCUGUCUCAGUUCGGAUUGGAGUCUGCAACUCGACUCCAUGAAGCUGGAUUCGCUAGUAAUCGCGCAUCAGCCACGGCGCGGUGAAUACGUUCCCGGGCCU
rnacentral:rRNA from 1 species